UUGUCCCUGCGAUGUGCGUGGUGGAAUGGAAGUUUUUGAGCCAACACCAAAUACUGGGGAGCCUAACUUCAGAUGUGGCUGUAAGCCUUGGCAUUUACAAGGAAACAAUAAACACCUGAGAGGGCGCCUACGUGCUUAAUGGGUUCAAUUAAGCAUCCUUCCACACGGCAUAUGUGGGGAUUUU
rnacentral:other from 1 species